rnacentral:rRNA from 1 species
AGGCGCGCAAAUUACCCAAUCCCGACACGGGGAGGUAGUGACAAUAAAUACUGAUACAGGGCUCUUUUGGGUCUUGUAAUUGGAAUGAGUACAAUUUAAAUCCCUUAACGAGGAACAAUUGGAGGGCAAGUCUGGUGCCAGCAGCCGCGGUAAUUCCAGCUCCAAUAGCGUAUAUUAAAGUUGUUGCAGUUAAAAAGCUCGUAGUUGAACCUUGGGCCUGGCUGGCCGGUCCGCCUCACCGCGUGCACUGGUCCGGCCGGGCCUUUCCUUCUGGGGAGCCGCAUGCCCUUCACUGGGUGUGUCGGGGAACCAGGACUUUUACUUUGAAAAAAUUAGAGUGUUCAAAGCAGGCCUAUGCUCGAAUACAUUAGCAUGGAAUAAUAGAAUAGGACGUGUGGUUCUAUUUUGUUGGUUUCUAGGACCGCCGUAAUGAUUAAUAGGGAUAGUCGGGGGCAUCAGUAUUCAAUUGUCAGAGGUGAAAUUCUUGGAUUUAUUGAAGACUAACUACUGCGAAAGCAUUUGCCAAGGAUGUUUUCAUUAAUCAGUGAACGAAAGUUAGGGGAUCGAAGACGAUCAGAUACCGUCGUAGUCUUAACCAUAAACUAUGCCGACUAGGGAUCGGGCGAUGUUAUCUUUUUUGACUCGCUC